UAUUCUGUGGCUUAGUUGGUUAAAGCGCUGGUCUAGCGAAUACGGAGUCGUGGGUUCAAAUCCCACCAGAACUC
rnacentral:tRNA from 1 species